GCCGGGUUGAUGGAAUUGCUAGACAUGGAAAGUUUAAGCCUUUCUGACCAGACGGUUAUGCAGGUUGGAAUCCUGCACCCGGUACCA
rnacentral:tRNA from 1 species